AGACCUUCUGUUUCUGUGAAAGAACGUAUCAUUGAUAAUAGAGAUUUAAAAUAUUUUUUCACUGUAUUAAUUUUAUUAUAUACUUUUAAAAAUUAUAAUAAUUAAUUAUAAUAAUUUUUUUUUUAUUAGAAAUCAAAAUUAGUUUUAUUACCUGGAGUAAAUAAUGCUACUGCUUUCAUACAUCCCCAUUCACUUCUAUCUGGUGAAAGUUGCCUAAAACGGCAUAUUGUAUCCUAAAAUAGCUUCGUCGGGUAAUCUUGCUCGUACCUGUUCAUCCUCCAAUAAGCCGGUAAUAUUCCAAGAUAUGGACCAUUGUGCUAGAUGAAGAAGAAAAAGUUGUGUCCAAGAACCUUCGAGUAAUAAUAAUUGAUCAUUCUUCGAAAGCGAUUGGAAUAGAGACAUUAGUAUCUGAAGAAGGGGUGGUUGCGGCGUUAGGGCGACGCUCGAGGGUGCUGAAUACAAAGUCGUGGUCGAAGGAGAAUGCGGUAGAGCCAAUGGUGCCGGGGACGAAGAAUCUUCUGGUGGUUUCUGAACUAGUGCCACUGGCCGUGGAUAAGGCGAGAACCUUUGGUCACACCUGAACUUUCUGCACACAUUAUCCUUAGCGUCCUUUUAUUCGAGUUAUUUAGAUGUAAAUACUAAGAAAAUGAUUUCGUAAUAUUUCGUACAUUUACAAUAAAUUAUGGUUCACGUUCUAUUACUUUAA